CAACAGAGCGUCGGUACACGGGGCGGGGGCCAUUUUGGGUGUGGCUUUCGCGGCUUUCAGGCGAAAAGCAAAGCUUUAUCAAAAACAAACGAAACUCAAAAACCUGUUGCCCGCUACAGCGGCGCUUCGCGGAGCUCAACCCCGCGCCCAGAGCUCGCUGUCGGCCGGCCGCCUUCCCGGGGGCGGUGAGCGGGCCCCGAGGCAGCGGGGCGGUGGCGGCGCGAGGCGGCCCGUAGACGCGAAGCUGGAACGUGCGCCCGACGACUCCUGGGAGAGGUUCCCAGGCCCCGCGCUCCACGCCUCCCGCCUGCCCGCCGGGGCGUCGCCGUUCGCGAGCGCGAGCACGUGCGCGCGCAUCUGAAGGCGCGCCGGCUGCAGGAGAGGGAGGUGGGGGUCUCGGAGGCCCGCGCCCGGGACCCCGCCCGCAGUGCGGCGCCACGGCGGAAGAGAGGGUGAUAAGCCUGUGCGAGGAGGUGGAGGAGGCGGAGGCGGCGGAGGCCGCGCUGACGGCGAGGAGGGCUGCGGACUGCACCGGCGGAUGCACGGGAGCGGGUGUGACUGACGACGCGGGGGCGGGUGGGCCCCGGCCCGCGGGGGGAGGGGAGCCCGGCUCGCCCGGCAUCGCAGCCUCCGCGCUGGGCGGCGGGGGCAGAACGAGGAUAAUACCCCGCUCAGCUUCUCGCUUAGAUAUCGUUUUAUUUUUUUAACGUUGGCAAUUAGAAGAAAAUGAUUUGAUAUGUUGUUGUGAACCGUAAAGAUCCCUUCUAGUAAAAUAUUUGCAGAAUGUGGACCAGCUCAGUCGCUGGGGUGAAAACUCCGGCCGUAGGGCCAAAAAAAGAAGAGGGGACGCCUUAGAGACCGGCUGCAAUGCGCCUGCACCGUCUCAGAUGACCUUAGGGCAAGGGGUCGCAUUUUGCACGGGUGGUCGCGGUUUCUUGUUUGCCUCCUCGGUAUGAGAGCCUUAGAAUUUACGUCGUGUUGAUGAACUUCCCCCGCUCGUACUCUCGAUUAUCAGCUGAUGGACUCCGUUCAGCUGGUAAGGAGGAUGACUGCGUGGAGAGGCCGAAACCAAGAGUCUUUCGUUUUCUCUCCCUACGUUUCUUUCUGCGUUUUCGCCCUGUUGGACACUAAAUCUCCAGUACAAGUAUGGUAGAUGGUUUCAGUAUUAUAUUGUCAUAUGUGGAUUGUGACUGUUAGGUGCAUUCAGCUUGGAAAAGACAGCUUUUAAGUAAAUGCCGUUGCGUAAAGGAACAGGAACAGGGCCUAGAUUGUAAACUGCUGUGUGGUCCUAUUUUUGUUACUGUGAUUUUAUUGUAUUUUUAAAGUUUGAAAGUGUACUGUUGUGCUUUGCUAUUUUUUAAUGCUCCCUGGAAUUUGGGAGCCGAGAAAGAGACUUGAAGUCAGAGUUCUGCAAGAAAGAAUGGGGCUUCCCUGGUGGUGCAGUGGUUGAGAGUCCGCCUGCCGAUGCAGGGGACACGGGUUCGUGCCCCGGUCCGGGAAGAUCCCACAUGCCGCGGAGCGGCUGGGCCCGUGAGCCAUGGCCGCUGAGCCUGCGCGUCCGGAGCCUGCGCUCCGCAACGGGGGAGGCCACAACAGUGAGAGGCCCGCGUACCGCAAAAAAAAAAAAAGAAAGAAAAAGGAAGGAAGAGACUACUUGACUGCAGCUGCCGAAGCAAGAACCCAAACCCCAAUCAAGGGUGUGGAUGCCGCUACUUCGGAUAAGAUUGAGAAGGCCCAGAGGGCUGUUGGGCACGUCGAGUGGUGGCGUGUGAAUUUUGGGAUUUUGCAGUCCAGCACAUCAGCGGAGGGGAGCUGUGUUGCUUUGGUUUUGUUUCUUUGGUUUUUCAGAAUUAUAAUUUUUCUGUGGCAUGUUAACUGGUGUACGUCUUGUAACCUGUCUGUUUCUCAAUAGAUGUCCACAAGAAGUCAGAGCAAGUGAUUUGAGAGAAAGAGAUGAGACGGGCUGGGGCCUGGGACCCUUUGCUGCUGUGUGCACACCUGGGCAGACAUCUCCAGCAACAAAAUACAAAGAAAAGUAACUGCAUGUCCUGCCAGUGCAGGGGACAUGGGUUUGAGCCCUGGUUCGGGAAGCUCCCACAUGCUGUGGAGCAACUAAGCCUGUGCGCCACAACUACUGAAGCCCACGCGCCUAGAGCCCGUGCUCUGCAACAAGAGAAGCCACCGCAGUGAGAAACCCAAGCACUGCAGUGAAGAGUAGCCCCCGCUCGCCGCAACUAGAGGAAGCCCGCGCGCAGCAACGAAGACCCAACGCAGCCAAAAAUAAUUAAUUAAUUAAUUAAUUUUAAAAAAAAGAAAACUGCAUGCAUGUGCAGUUGGGGCAAAUUAUGGACAACAAGAUACAAAAAGACUGAAAACCCAACUGCCAAUUCUGAAGAGCCGGGAGCAAAAGCAGGGCACCGAGCACGCCCCCUGCACUCAACCCCACCUAAGGGGUGGGCACACCUCCUAAGCCACGCCUCCAGCUGACCCCAGGACACACCUCUACCCUCACCCCAUAUAAGGAAGCAGCUCGCCCCCUGCCCCACCCCGGGGAGCGAGCAAGGGAACUUGUUACUUGUUCUCCCUACUGCUGCAGCAGAAACCUCAAUAAAGCCUUGCCUGAAUUUCU